CGAAUGGACUUUUGAAAACAACCCACGAGCCAAACAACAGAGAAAUUAUGUUUCCCUUCCGGUAUAUCUGACAAUGCAUACACUAACGGGACCACACUCUUCACUCCGAUUUCCAAACCACCGUCAACCGUCGUCAAUUUAUCCGUUGCGUCACCGGAACCACCGUCAAUCUCCUCCGGUGACCGCUUCCAAUACUCACAGGCCGCCGAGAAACAAUCACCAAUCAUCAUAUUCCUCAUUCAGUCAAACAACGGUCAACAUCUUCGAGCAUAACGUCAAAUUGUUCGACUAUAACUCUAUAAGGCAUUAAGUUCUCUGAAGAGAUUGGAUGUAUACAAAGGAGUUGAAAAGGGUAAAGAGCCCAAGUUCAGAAAGAAGUUUGCUGCGAUUGAAAAAUUAGAUUAUCAAGCUCCAGCAGAUGACAAAUGGAGGCAUGAUAAUAGUGAUUCUGGAACUGAAACAGAGAAGAUGCAGCCAUUUGAGCCUAAGAAGACUAGGUGGUGGGUGAAGACAGAUGAUAAGAAGAAAAAGAGAACUCCAAAAGCUGCAACACCAAAAGCUGGACCGAAGAGAGCUCCGAAGAAGAAGAAAUCUCCACCACAUCUGGUUGAUGAACCAGAUGAUGUUCCUCCUGAAAAUAUUGAUGUUAAUGUUGCAGGUGGUGAUCAUGAGAUUUUCUUGGAUGAAAUUGAAAACAUCAUAGCCGAUCAAGAUGCUUCUAAAGUUGCUGAGAAAGCUGGGGGUGAGAAAAGGGGUAAAAACAUUGAAGCUAUGAAAGAAACGCUAGUUGAAGGUGAUGUGCAUACAGAUUCAAGCGAUACAGAAACUGAUAUAGUUGUCACACAGCUGGCACCAACAACAGAUGUUAGUGGCAAAUUCAGAAUGAAAGUGCCUUCAAAGAAAAAGAAGAAUUCAGACGAUGAAGAUGCUACUUAUGAUUCAGAUGCAGAGACAGAAAAGUUAAAGAAGCGUAAAGGAUCGCAGAAGCGUAAAGCUCAGCCUACGGGUGAAAUUCCAAGAAGGAGGAAAGUCAGGAAGACUACAACUGAUAUUCCUGAACAGAUUCCUGAAGUUGAAAACGUUGAAAUGGAGGUUCCUGUACAAAGUGAAUGCAUUCCAGAACCUAGAUCCACAUCGAAGAAGAUUCCAUCACCAACACCACAAGGUUCGAGUCAAGGUUUUCCGAAAGUUCCUUCUAAUCUUGAUGGUGGUCCAACGAGUCUUGAUGAUGUUGGAUACAUUCCGUUCUUUAAUGGCGAUAAGGUUGAUGAAUUAGCAAAGAAAGUUGGAGAGUUAGAGAAGGCGAAAGCAGAUACUGACGCAGAGCUUAAAGUAAUGAAAGAAAAGCGUAAGCAGGUUGAAGCUGAAAAUGUGGUUCUAAAGAAUGAAAUGUUGGCUAUGAAUGAUCAGAUUGAAGAUGUUAAAGCUGGGAACAAUGCUUUGAACGAAAUGAUUGAUGAGCUGCUAGUUACAAAUUGUGAUCUGAAUGAUGCUAAUACGACAAUGAGUAAUGCUAAUGAGAUCUUGCAGAAAGAGAUAGAAGAUCUGAAAGCAGACAAGGAAAACAAGUCUAAGCAAAUAGAGAUGUUAUAUGCCGUGAUCGAAGACAGACUUGGUAUCAAUGUUCAUGCAGCUUAUGAUGAUGUUGAAAUCCGAAGAGCUGAGGCUCUGAGGAUGGAAAAAGAACAACAAAAUGCUGCUGAAGCUGCAAAGGAUAAAGGAAAAGGUAUAGCAGUAGAAGAAGCUUCUGAAGAAGUUCUUGAAUCGUCGAGUCAGAGAGAGCAACAACAACCAGAAGAUGAAGCUAAUGAUGAUAAUGCUCUGGUCCUCGCACAACAAUUCGUCCUUGUAGGUAAAGCAAAGAGCGUGUCUUACAGCAGAGAAGACAAUGCAAGGAGAAUUGAAGUUGAAAGACGUCGACUGAAAGCUAAACAAGAAAAGAAAGAUCAGACAGUUGAGAAAGUUGACGAAGAGAAUGAUGAUUUGAAAGACAUUGAGGUUGACAACCUGAGGCAUAAAUAUGAAAUUUAUGAAGCUGAGAUUAAAAAAUCAAGAAAGCAAGUUCAGGAAGCAAUGGAAUUAGCUGCUGAUGAAUCUGCAAAAUUUAAAGCUGCAAAAGAUGCAAUCAAAAUUCUUGCUUCACAGCUUAAGGACAUAGCAGAAAGAUUGCCACCUGGAUCCUAUAACCUUGACAGCAUUAAGAUACCAAAUGGUCUAGAAUCCGGCUCCAUUCUGCAAAAUCUCGACACAAAUGGAGACAUUCUGUCAACAAGGAUUUCGAACGGGGAUGAUGGAUAUUCAGAUUAUGGCGGUGGAGGUUCAGGGGUAGAUUUGGGAAAUAAGUAUUUGCCGGAUCAUGUAUCUUCGCAAGAAGGGGAGUUCAAAACUAGAAAUGUAGCAUCUUAUGAUGGUGAUGCUGCAUCUGAUCAAGUUGAGGCUGAAUGGAUUGAACAUAUGAGCCUGGUGUGUAUUUAACACUUGUGGCUUUACGUGAUGGAACCCGAGAUCCCAAAAGAGUUCGCUUUAGCCCUAGGAGAUUUGGUGAGCACCAAGCCGAGACAUGGUGGUCAGAAAAACGUGAACAAGUUUAUGAACGAUAUAAUAUUCUUCGUGGGUCGGAUAAAUUAUCAGUCUCCGCGCAAACGACCCGACAGUCAACUGAAAAUCUCCCGCCACUGGUCCGUUACUAAAUCACCAUGGCUGUAAUAUUCUUCCCAGUUUCCACUUUUGAUUUGUGAAUUAUAUUCCGAGGGUGAAAAUUAGAUUCAAGUGUAGUUGAUGUAAUGUUCUUGCCUGUAUUGUGAUAGAUAUGGUGUAUAUAAACUUUAUUAGUAUAAGGGGAAGGUUAAAGUAUGAUAAUUGCUUAAC